AUGGAGUCCGGGCUGGGCUGGGUUUUCCUUGUUGCUAUUUUAGGAGGUGUCCAGUGUGAGGUGCAGCUGGUGGAGUCUGGGGGAGGCUUGGUGAAGCCUGGGGGGUCUCUCUCAGACUCUCCUGUGCGGCCUCUGGAUUCACCUUCAGCAGCUAUGCCAUGAGCUGGCUCCGCCAGGCUCCAGGGAAGGGGCUGGAGUGGGUCUCAGUUAUUAAUUAUGAGGGUAGUAGCACAUACUACGCUGACUCUGUGAAGGGCCGAUUCACCAUCUCCAGAGACAACUCCAAGAACACGCUUUAUUUGCAAAUGAACAGCCUGAGAACCGAGUACACAGCCGUGUAUUACUGUGCAAGAAAAGAUGGAACAGGACCUUAUGGGGGCUCACUGGGAGGCUGGGGAUAA